CGCCUGUUUAUCAAAAACAUGUCUUUUUGUUAAUUAUUUAAAGUCUGGCCUGCUCCAUGAGUUUAAUUAAAUAGCCGCAGUAUUUUGACUGUGCAAAGGUAGCAUAAUCAUUAGUUUCUUGAUUGGAAGCUGGAAUGAAGGGUCGGAUGAGAAAGGCUCUGUCUCACUAUUAUUUUACUUGAAUUUUAUAUUUAGGUUAAAAAGCCUAGAUUUUAUAGGAAGACGAGAAGACCCUAUAGAGUUUUAUAGGUUUACUUUUCAAUUAUUUUUGGGUGUUAAUUUUAUUGUUUUGUAACUUAUUUAGUUGGGGUGACUUAAGAAUGGGAUAAACUUCUUAUUAAAAAUACAAUGAUUAUUGAGUAUAUGAUCCUGGGAUCUGGAUUAUAAGAAUAAAUUACCUUAGGGAUAACAGCGUAAUUUUUUUAGAGAGUUCUUAUCGAUAAAAGAGAUUGCGACCUCGAUGUUGGAUUAAAGUUAAGUUCUGGUGCAGAAGCUAGGGAUUUG
rnacentral:rRNA from 1 species